AUUGAACGCUGGCGGCAGGCCUAACACAUGCAAGUCGAGCGGAGCGGGGACGGGUGAGUAACAAGUGGGUAACCUCCCAUCAGAGGGGAUAACACUUGGAAACAGGUGCUAAACCGAUACUGAUGGAUGGACCCGCGGUGCAUUAGCUAGUUGGUGGGGUAACGGCUCACCAAGGCCACGAUGCAUAGACGACCUGAGAGGGUGAGCGCCCACACUGGGACUGAGACACGGCCCAGACUCCUACUGUAGGCAGCAGUAGGGCAUCUUCGGCAAUGGACGAAAGUCUGACCGAGCAACGCCGCGUGAGUGAAGAAGGUUUUCGGGUCGUACAACUCUGUUGUUAGAGAAGCGGUAUCUAACCAGAAAGCCACGGCUAACUACGUGCCAGCAGCCGCGGUAAUUC
rnacentral:rRNA from 1 species